GACGAACGCUGGCGGCGUGCUUAACACAUGCAAGUCGAACGGAAAGGCCUCUUUCGGGGGGUACUCGAGUGGCGAACGGGUGAGUAACACGUGAGUAACCUGCCCUUGACUUUGGGAUAACUUCAGGAAACUGGGGCUAAUACCGGAUAGGAGCUCCUGCUGCAUGGUGGGGGUUGGAAAGUUUCGGCGGUUGGGGAUGGACUCGCGGCUUAUCAGCUUGUUGGUGGGGUAGUGGCUUACCAAGGCUUUGACGGGUAGCCGGCCUGAGAGGGUGACCGGCCACAUUGGGACUGAGAUACGGCCCAGACUCCUACGGGAGGCAGCAGUGGGGAAUAUUGCACAAUGGGUGGAAGCCUGAUGCAGCAACGCCGUGUGCGGGAUGACGGGCUUCGGGUUGUAAACCGCUUUCGCUCAUGACGAAGCUUUGUGUGACGGUAGUGGGUAAAGAAGCACCGGCUAACUACGUG
rnacentral:rRNA from 1 species